UUUAAAAUCAAUUUUAAAGUGUGUGUCGCACCACUGCACACAAAACGCACCCUUGGUUUUUGUGUAAGCAACCAACCGCCACCUGCGUCACGAGUUUGUGUUGGCUGCCACAAUCCUUGCAAGCGCUCUCUCCUAGCAGACCUUUUCAACGGAAAGAGGGGGCAGACUUGCAUAGGAGUACAAAGGCUGAUGUCCUUGCCUCGGAAGUGCAUUUUUGGGGGGUCAUGCAUAUUUACAACGUCUCAGAGCACCCAGGAAGCCUUCGUUAGAAAGAGUUGUCAGUGUGGUGCUUAUGUGCACGCAGUUUGGUGUGCUCACGUAGCCAGCUAUGUUUACAUGAAAACCACUCUGGGUCCCACCUCACUCCGCACUUUCUGAAACCGAAACUGCGACUGAGCACUAUAAAACUGUCUGCAAAUAAUUAACCAUCAUGCACUCGAGCAAACGAGCUAUCCAGCCAUGAUAAGCGGGUCGUUAGCUAUUGUGCCCGUUGUUUGCUUAGCAGACGACAAAAUGAUUGACGGCACUGCCUUUUCCGGUCGCUGUUCUCAUGUCUGACCGUCGGACGAGCCUGGACCAAUCCAGUGUGGCGCGACAGAAUGUUCUAUCACAGAAUGUGUACAGAAUUGCACCCCGGGAGCUGCAAGACACAGCUCAAGUGUGGGUGUCUUGCACCCAACAAAGUGCUUCCAAAAGGAUGUACAAGACUCACUUGCCAGCAGGCAAACUGCAUUGCUCUCCAGGGCAACUGCAUUUAGAAAGUGCACAUUCAUCCACAAACAGAUAUGUGCUAACACCUUUGUGUUCGAAAAAAAAAAAGUGCAGUUUGUGAUGGCAGGGCCACUUGUACAAACAGAAAGGUUAUUUGAACAUAAAAAUAUAUUAAUACUUGUCUUUCUUUUAAUGAGUGACAACAGUAUAUCGGAAGUUACCUGCCUGCAAUACUAAGCUAAAUGAUGCUAGCUUUUGUCAGCUCCUGGGCACACUUUCAAAGCAUUUGCUAACUAGGGUUAUUGAUAGUUUGCAGUUCUUGUAUGUGUAAAUGUUGGUGAACGUUGAAGUACUGUUUACUGCUCAGUUUGAAAUUUUUGUGUUUCCUGCUUGACACACAACUUUUAAUUGCAGCUGUUGUGAUUUUGUCCUACUUAUAAGAAACUUUUGAUGAACAGCAGCAAAGUCUGCAGUUAACAAAAAUGAUCUAGCCACAAUUGCCCUACUUGAUGAGUGACAAAGUGCAGAGCUAUAUGAAGCCGAAAGUAUAGCUAUGACUAGCGAAUACGUAGCCCCUCAUUCGGUUCCUCUUCUCAUUCAUUGAAAGUGUAACGUUAUCUAAGUCUUCGACAAGUUUUGAUCACAGAGGAUAGUGCAAAAUAAUAACAGCAGGUGAAGCAGUGCAAUGGCAUAUGUCCCAUGUCCUGUAGUUAUUGUCGCUCAGCUAAUGCUUGCUGGGAAUAGCACACGGGGCAACCUGUUCUCGUGCAAAUAUUUUGUGUACAACACAAGGUUCCAUUUAUGCAUUUUUCCUGCAAGACAUUGUUAAAGAUAAUGCUAGGUGAUUCAACUAGUUUUAAUAAACCGGACCAUUGAAUCAGUAGAAGAGUAUGUAUAUAGCUAGGUCAAAUACUAACAAGGUAGUCAUUCUUGUAAAGGAAAUUAACCAAAGAAUAAUUAUGUGCUGAUGUGCAUGCAGUAGACAUUCCCAACUAAUGACAGGCAGUUUACCGCUGUCCUUAAUGUGGAAAGUGUACAACCACUGUAUUCUGCCAAUUCUAACAUAUGGGACAGAAACUUGAGAAAAUAACAAAGAAAUUCGGGAAGAGCUUCAGAACCACACAGCAUGCAAUGGAAUGAAAAAUGGUAGGCGUAAAAUUAAGAGAUAGGAAGGCAGCAUAGUGGAUCACAGAACAGGUGGGUAGCCAAUAUCCUGGUAGUCAAAAAUUGACCUGAGCAGGUCAUGGCGUGAAAAGGACAGAUUACCGAUGGUCAGUUGGAGCAUCGGAAUAGACGCCAAGGGAUGGGAAGCACGGCCGAGGUUGACAAAGGCGCUAGGUGGCUCAAUGAAACAAAAAAAUUUGGAGGCAUAAGAUGCAAUGCCCUGCAUAGGACACGAUGGAUUGGCGAGGCCUUACUUCAGUAGGGGACGUGAAAUAGGCUGGUUAUUAUGCAAAAGUUUCCUGUAAAAGUACAUUUUUAGAGCGAAUUUGCAGACCUGUUUUAUAUUUUUUGAAAAACUACCUAACACUCGGUAUACAUUAUGUGUUGAUUGGAAGACAUUGGUGCACUUAUAUAGUGCUGCCUACUCCUUUUCACAGAUAAUAGGAUUAUUGAAAAUCUCUGCCCCAAAGAGAAAACAAAAAUGCCUAAAAUCGCACCUAUAGUCGGAUACAACUUAAGCAGUGCAGAGAGGCCCCUCCCUGAUGACCAAAGCAUGAUAGCCAUGCGCCUCUGUGGCUGAAGAAAUAGUUUCGCUCAUGUACUUGGCGAUGUUCUCCGAAGGUGGGGUGACCGGUCGUCCAGCUUGUGACAUUAGUCUAGAGUGCGCUCCCAUUCGUGCAGGCUUGUGUGCAUCCUCCUUUGAGGAGUAAAUGCCGUGGACUUCUAAAGCUGUAUUCUACUAUAGAGAGAGCUUGUCAGUCAAGCCGUAGCGAUUCGCAUAAAAGCAUGAAGUCCAUUCACAGAGUGUUGCUGCCAGAAGUAAAGGUCACACAAAGUCGCACAGUAUAGUAUGCUGUCGCUUCUCUUCUGCUGCGGGCCAGCAUAAACUUGCAAAACAGUCUUGCACUGUAUUUCGUAUAAACGUGCUUCUUUUAUUUCUAUUUUUUUGCUGCUAAGUGAAUUGUUUAAAAACUACUUCAAAUAUCCCAAAGCUGCAGCUCACAUGCAACAGUAAAUCGAGACAGCAUUGCUGAAAACGGACAAAGGUGAGAAAUGUGUAUCCGAUUCAUGCUUACUGCAAGGAAAGCACACCUCCAUCUCUCUCCCCACUUCUUUUCGUGUGCUGAUCUAAGAUGACUUUCUGUGGUGAGAAUAAUGCUUGGUGUGGCAUUGCUACACACAUUUGCAGGUAGAAAAUUAGAUUCCCACUGCUUGUGGAAAUGUUGAGAGCAACAGAAAAAUAAUUGUUUGUGUUCGUCAAUAUUUUUUCACAGUUCCUAGAUUUCCUUUUGCUGUAGCAAAGUAAGUUCCAUUGGAAGGGCCAACGACUACAUUUUUGUAAUGCCAUUUAGAAAAUCUUAAAAUGACCUUGCUUUUUCUUAUUCAGUAUUCAAUGGAAGGUUGCACUCUUUUAUCUUUGACCAGCACAAGCAUUAUGUCUUGAAGAAAGCAGCCAUUGCUGCUUCUUGAGAUAUUUGCUGCAGUAUUGCAUGCUUCUCUAAACUACGCAGGAGCAGCCAAGGCAACGGGGACGACUGUUCGCCACCCACAUCAUCCGCAAAGGCGGCGCUUGUUGACAAACUGGAUGCUGCAGCUCGUCCUGGCUGCUCGACCUCCCCUACCAGUACAGCAAACCAGCUUGCCGGCAUGAAGGUGGAAGACAGCACUGACAUCACAUCAGGACCUGGUGCUCUUCAGUGCUGGCUUGAGAGCAUUGGUCUGCCUACCUGCUUUCCCAUCCUUCUGGAGAAAGGCAUCCGUGACAUGAAUGGCUUGAGACUGAUGAGCUUCAAG
rnacentral:lncRNA from 1 species